rnacentral:rRNA from 1 species
AUACGGAGGAUCCGAGCGUUAUCCGGAUUUAUUGGGUUUAAAGGGAGCGUAGGUGGACAGUUAAGUCAGUUGUGAAAGUUUGCGGCUCAACCGUAAAAUUGCAGUUGAUACUGGCUGUCUUGAGUACAGUAGAGGGGGGCGGAAUUCGUGGUGUAGCGGUGAAAUGCUUAGAUAUCACGAAGAACUCCGAUUGCGAAGGCAGCUCACUGGACUGCAACUGACACUGAUGCUCGAAAGUGUGGGUAUCAAACAGGAUUAGAUACCCUGGUAGUCCACACAGUAAACGAUGAAUACUCGCUGUUUGCGAUAUACAGUAAGCGGCCAAGCGAAAGCAUUAAGUAUUCCACCUGGGGAGUACGCCGGCAAGGGUGAAACUCAAAUGAAUUGGCGGGG